rnacentral:rRNA from 1 species
GUGUCAGCCGCCGCGGUAAUACGUAGGUGGCAAGCGUUAUCCGGAAUUAUUGGGCGUAAAGCGCGCGCAGGUGGUUUCUUAAGUCUGAUGUGAAAGCCCACGGCUCAACCGCGGAGGGUCAUUGGAAACUGGGAGACUUGAGUGCAGAAGAGGAAAGUGGAAUUCCAUGUGUAGCGGUGAAAUGCGUAGAGAUAUGGAGGAACACCAGUGGCGAAGGCGACUUUCUGGUCUGUAACUGACACUGAGGCGCGAAAGCGUGGGGAGCAAACAGGAUUAGAAACCCUCGUAGUCC